AAAGUACUCCCUCCGUCCCAAAAUUCUUGUCUUAGAUUUGUCUAGAUACGGAUGUAUCAAGUCACAUUUUAGUAUUAGAUACAUCCAUAUCUAGACAAAUCUAAGACAAGAAAUUUGGGACAGAGGGAGUAGUAG
rnacentral:pre_miRNA from 1 species